rnacentral:rRNA from 1 species
UACGGAGGGGGCUAGCGUUGUUCGGAAUUACUGAGCGUAAAGCGCACGUAGGCGGCUUUGCAAGUCAGAGGUGAAAGCCCGGGGCUCAACCCCGGAAUUGCCUUUGAGACUGCAUCGCUAGAAUUGUGGAGAGGUAAGUGGAAUUCCGAGUGUAGAGGUGAAAUUCGUAGAUAUUCGGAAGAACACCGGUGGCGAAGGCGGCGACCUGGUCCUUGACUGACGCUGAGGCGCGAGAGCGUGGGGAGCAAACAGG